AUCACUUUGUGCGUGGUACAUGGCAACACGGGUAUGCCCAAGCUUGGACAAAAGUCCGGAAGGUGUAUUUUCCAUAUAAUCUGAAAGGGUCUCACUGGGUUGCAAUCGAACUUGAUUUCGUAAGACAUACUGCAACCGUGUAUGACUCCUAUAUUGAUUAUACGAAACGUUCAAAGCUGGUUACGCUUCUGCACCCUAUUAGCGAUACGCUGGCACGAGUGCUGUUCGAUAUGCAUUUUUAUGAUGAUUCUGAGGUUGAAGAGGUGAAGCAAAAGGGGCUGACGAUGUCGAUGUAUACGCCAUUCUCAGUGUGCAGCAUUGCAGAUGUGCCACAACAACGAGAUGGUGCGUCUUGCGGAAUCUUGACCGUCAAAUUCAUCGAGCAUCUCAGUGCUGGGAUGUCGGUAGAUAAAGUUGACCCUUUGAAGAUCAAAUAUUACCGACUCAAGCUUGCAAUUGAGGGUUUAAGGGGGGAGGCAUAUUUAUGAGUCUUUCCAGUCAUUCAACACAAAAUUUAUCGCCUAAUACUGUGGACUAGCAGAACAAGUCUUACGAGGCCAUACAUAAAUAGCCACAAGUUGUCAUACAUGUAUAUCAAAAGUGUGAAGUUGAAACCUACAGACGACAAGGGAAGAAGGAAGCUCUGUCCCAUACAGGUGAUUGAUGGAGUAAACAUGUUUAUGCCACCAUACCAAAUUGACUGCCCCUUGAAUUGCACUUGACGCUACCACAAUUGUAGGGGUGGACCUUGGCCAGGGUCUGCGGGAAUGGAUAUUCAAAAGUACAUAAAGGUUGAGAAGG